rnacentral:rRNA from 1 species
UACGAAGGGGACUAGCGUUGUUCGGAUUUACUGGGCGUAAAGCGCGCGUAGGCGGAUCGCUAAGUCAGGGGUGAAAUCCCAGGGCUCAACCCUGGAACUGCCUUUGAUACUGACGGUCUGGAGAUCGGGAGAGGUUGGUGGAAUUCCGAGUGUAGAGGUGAAAUUCGUAGAUAUUCGGAGGAACACCGAUGGCGAAGGCAGCCCCCUGGGCUAGCACUGACGCUCAGGCACGAAAGCGUGGGAAGCAAACAGG